rnacentral:rRNA from 1 species
AGGGAAUCUUCCACAAUGGACGCAAGUCUGAUGGAGCAACGCCGCGUGAGUGAAGAAGGCUUUCGGGUCGUAAAACUCUGUUAUUGAAGAAGAACGUGUGUGCAGUAACUGGUCAUGCAGUGACGGUAUUCAAUCAGAAAGUCACGGCUAACUACGUGCCAGCAGCCGCGGUAAUACGUAGGUGGCAAGCGUUGUCCGGAUUUAUUGGGCGUAAAGCGAGUGCAGGCGGUCU